rnacentral:rRNA from 1 species
UACGGAGGAUCCGAGCGUUAUCCGGAUUUAUUGGGUUUAAAGGGUGCGCAGGCGGGAGAUUAAGUCGGCGGUGAAAUUUUGCAGCUCAACUGUAAAAGUGCCUUCGAAACUGGUUUCCUUGAGUGUGGAUGAAGUAGGCGGAAUUUGUGGUGUAGCGGUGAAAUGCAUAGAUAUCACGAGGAACUCCGAUUGCGCAGGCAGCUUACUAAACCAUAACUGACGCUCAGACACGAAGGCGUGGGGAUCAAACAGGAUUAGAUACCCGGGUAGU